rnacentral:rRNA from 1 species
UGCGCAGGCGGUUAUGUAAGACAGAGGUGAAAUCCCCGGGCUCAACCUGGGAACUGCCUUUGUGACUGCAUGGCUAGAGUGCGGCAGAGGGGGAUGGAAUUCCGCGUGUAGCAGUGAAAUGCGUAGAUAUGCGGAGGAACACCGAUGGCGAAGGCAAUCCCCUGGGCCUGCACUGACGCUCAUGCACGAAAGCGUGGGGAGCAAACA